GAUGAACGCUGACAGAAUGCUUAACACAUGCAAGUCUUUGGCGAAGCUGUGCUUGCACAGCCUAGCCAAGGCGGACGGGUGAGUAACGCGUAAGGAACUUGCCCUGCAGUCAGGGAUAACAGACGGAAACGACUGAUAAGACCUGGUAAAGUCAGGCGGACUCAUGUCCAGCCUGAUGAAAAGAGAUGCUGCAGGAGAGCCUUGCGUCCUAUUAGCUUGUUGGUGGGGUAACGGCCCACCAAGGCGAUGAUAGGUAGCCGGCCUGAGAGGGUGGACGGCCACAAGGGGACUGAGAUACGGCCCUUACUCCUACGGGAGGCAGCAGUGGGAAAUAUUGGACAAUGGGGGCAACCCUGAUCCAGCAAUUCUGUGUGCACGAUGAAGGUUUUCGGAUUGUAAAGUGCUUUCAGCAGGGAAGAAAAAAAUGACGGUACCUGCAGAAGAAGCGACGGCUAAAUACGUG
rnacentral:rRNA from 1 species